GUGACCUAAUAGAGGUGUAUAAGCAUCUCAAGGGGCACUACUCAGUCGGGUGUCCUUACCUGGAGGUGGCGGACGCUCGCCCCACAAGGGGUCACAGCUCAAGGUUGAAGAAACCUCAAGUCCAGACAACUGGUCCAGUGCUACUGCUAGAGCCCCCUGGCCUUGCCAUGCUAGCCAACGGUGGUCCAGAGAAUACAUGGGGACCGUUACCUAGACAUUCAAGAUGAUGUAAGGACUACACGAUAGAAGAAACAUGCCCGAUUAUGAGACCAAAUAAUGCCAAUACUGAAUGUCAUUGUUCUAACCCCUUCACUAUGGGGGCGCCGCCUUUAAUAUUCUAUUUGCCCAAUGCCAGACGAUUUUAUUUAGCUCAGAAGGGAAUCCAUACACAAGGGACUAAGCUGUGUGAGAUUUUCCCAUAAACCAACUUGAGAAUAUGAUCAGGUUUCCAAAUGUGUUGUACUUCAAGAAAGUAGAGUUUUGCAUAUUCUGAUGUCAUGCACAAUUAUAGAGCCAUCAGCAUUACUGUAUGUUAAAAAGCCAUUUGUCCACUUUAGUACCAACAUACAUUACACAUACAGAUGAAAAUCAAGAUGCAAAGGCAUAAAAGAAAUAUCCCAAAUAAAGUUUACUAAAUAUU